rnacentral:lncRNA from 1 species
UGCUCUUCUCCGUUAAGGCACCGCGGCGGGACAGGGACGACGUUCGACACCCACAUCGGAAGACCUGCUCGCAAUUUCUAGUGUCGGGCUGCGGAACUAGACGAACCUCGGCCGAUGCCAAGGUGAGCUUCUCCCACUUAAUUCCUUCUUCCCACCCGCACCAGGUCUUGAUUUCUGCUCCGAGGGCAAUUGAUUGAAGCUACAACUCAAGAAAUUUCCUUAUUCUAAUCUAACUUUAGGUUCGAAUUCCUAAUGACCAGAAUCAAUGAAUACUAUUUGUGCUAAUACUAAAUUCUAGAGACGCAUGCUAAUUCUUAUACAUACGUAAUAAAAAAAGACAUCGAUCGCAAAAUCAUGAAAGAUUUCAAAUGGAGUUUUAUUUCAUUCUCCACAUCAAUUUCCUCUGACUGCGCAAGUUUAGUUUGCUAACGUGGUCUGCUGGCAUCCCUUCGGGGACAUGGAAUAAAAUCGGAACAAAACUUGGUCUGCUGGCCAUUUCGGCCUCAUCGGGCCGACGCAUGUUUGUAGAGGGUCAACAUGUGUGCUUUUCAGAAAGGGAACUAUCGGGUGUUUUUGCCGAUCCGCUGAUCUGGAGAUUUUCAUAAUGCGGUAAAGUUUUGGAGUGGCUCUAGCUGGCUUAUUCAGUAUCGAGAAAAACAAUACGAGUUACUUGUAGAUUGAUAUCAGAUGGAAUUUUGGGGCCUUGCAAUUUAUUUCAUGUUUGCUUGCAAAAAAGCUAGGUGUUUCAUAUAUUUAAUAAUCUGAUUAGUCAAAUUCUAAGUUAAAAUAAAUGGUGGGGUUCCUAAGGGACAAAAGAUGGGGUAUAAAUUGGGUAUCAUGUGUUAUAUUUGAUGGCUUAAUUGCGAAUGUAAAUGACCAUUUUUCCCCUAAUCAGAACAGUGGUAGUAUCAAGCAUAGGAUGACAUGUUAGACAACAAAAUAAUAUCCUUCUUCUAGUUAAAUCAUCAUGUUUAGUACAAGUUUUAGUAUUUAACUCAGGUUAUGUUGCUGUACAACUGCAUCAUCUCUAACUAAAAAAUGUAAAGUCAAUCACAUUUUAGGCAUAUAUUCAAAUUUUAGACUGCUGAUACGAUUCGAUAGACAAAAUGAAGAACACCACCCUUUUCUAGUUAUUGGGACAUUAAAAUUUGUUCCAAGGUCGAUGUUAUGCAUGGCCAUACAUCCAGCUUCCAACUUUUUUUUGUUACCAUAAAAUGUGUCACCCCCUCCAGGAUUUACUGUAUCACAAGUGUCAUGGCAUCAGAGAGUUUGCCGAAUCACCCAUGUGGUCUUGGUCCCUCUUCCCUGCGGCAGGUGAAACUCUAGCUCAAAUCCUCCUGCAGCAGCGAUAGUGCUUUCUUUCUUUCAUAUCACUAUGUUUUUUUUCCUUAUUUAUUAAACGUUUAUGUAGUGUUCUAGUCAUAUCUGUACUUUGGUGGCCUCUAGAAAGGACCAGAACAGUAUAACCUUUUGUCAUUGGCAGUGCUUAAUGCUGUGAGUGGAAUUAUAUCGUUGUAUCCGCUCUAGCAUGAAGCACUUUGNNNNNNNNNNNNNNNNNNNNNNNNNNNNNNNNNNNNNNNNNNNNNNNNNNNNNNNNNNNNNNNNNNNNNNNNNNNNNNNNNNNNNNNNNNNNNNNNNNNNNNNNNNNNNNNNNNNNNNNNNNNNNNNNNNNNNNNNNNNNNNNNNNNNNNNNNNNNNNNNNNNNNNNNNNNNNNNNNNNNNNNNNNNNNNNNNNNNNNNNNNNNNNNNNNNNNNNNNNNNNNNNNNNNNNNNNNNNNNNNNNNNNNNNNNNNNNNNNNNNNNNNNNNNNNNNNNNNNNNNNNNNNNNNNNNNNNNNNNNNNNNNUUGGUAAUAUAUCCUAUGUCUAUCUGAAUUUGUCCAUCCAAGUUUGAUGAGUCAAGAGACCAGGGCACAUCUUGAUACUAAUUUCAGAAAUACUACAAUACUGAGAUGACUUAUUGAAGGAUGCUUCUAGCUAGAUCAUGUGCGAUUGAAAAGUGCAUUUCCCCUCAUAGUAGCCUUUCUGACUAACAUAUUUAUCAUACAACCUCCGUUCCUAAAUAAGUGUCUCAAGCUUAGUAGAACUUUGCACUAAAGUUAGUACAAAGUUGAGACACUUAUUUUGGGACGGAGGGAGUAUAUGCUAGUGGUGUAGCCUGCAGUUAAGAUAAUCUGAAACUUUUUUUUUCCUCGAGUGAUGCAGGAGAGUUGCCUGUGAUGAUUUAUAAGAAGGGAAAUAGUACAAGGAGAGGCCAGAGGUCAACACCUAGAGAUGUCAAAUUACAGACCUGACAUGAACGAAAAAUAAGUCAACCUUGACCACACACACCCUAUUCUAAGAACCAGGGAUAAGCUACCUGAUGUGUAGCUCGUGGAGGGCUGAAGCACCAGCCAAACACCACAAGCCACUCUCAUAAGCAAUUGCCUGUAACACAACCGGAAAUCCAGAAUACAAGGCCUAGUGCCUUCAAGGACACAUGCAUUGCCGGUUUCUGCACUUUGAGUCAGCGGGCUCCGGUGACGCAAGAACAGCGCCAGCAAGACUUGCAGCUGAGAGGUAUGGCUAAAUCCUUCGUGCUGGCAGCAAUCACAGCGGUCAGUGCGAUCAAGCUAGGGCCAGGGAAGAACAUGUCCACGAGCACACCACUGAAAUUUGGCCAGGAGGGAGAGGGUUCCAACAACAACAAAACCCCUCUCCCCUCGGACCAAUUCAACAUGCUGCAGAUAUGGUGGCCGGCCGUGGGUUCGGGCUGGUUCCGACGUACGGCGGCUUGGUCAUGGCUACUGCCCCUGCUGCAACCCUGGCAGAUCCUAUGAACCAAGGUGCAAGUGCAGUUGCCCAGGCGUCGAACGUGGACGUGGUACUGAAACCUGCUGCUGCUGUACCUACCACAACUUUGACAGCGGCAGUGGGUUCAGAAACAGGCGCGCCUGCUGUUGGUCGCAUAACUGAAGCGAGCACUAUGCUCCCGGUAGCAAAUUCAGCAAUGUUGGUAGUGGUGGGGAACAAGCAGAUGGAUGGGAUCUACAUCGACAAAGGCCCUGCGACGCACCUUUUUGUCGCAGGUUCCGACUGCAAGACAGAAGAGGCAGUCAAGAUAUCUGGAAAGAAUAUGAAGAAAAAGGGUACAGAGCAGGGUGUGGUCAACAUUGUAUCAGUUCUGGGCAAGAGAGGGGACAGGGUACAGGAAGGGGUACAUGAGUCACUUCUGAAGGGGGAGGUAUGUAACUAGAGGUUGUUAGUAAGAAGAAGAGUACUAGUCCAGAGGGAGGAGAGAGGAGCAACGAGCUGUUGGAGACCUGACGGUCGCUGAUGAUGACGGCCGUCAGGAGUAAAAUACUCAGCUGGAACUGCCGGGUUUAGGCCAACCCUGGACAGUUCAGGAAUUGGCGUGCCUUGUGAGCACACACCGUCCCUCGACCGUCUUCGUCUCUGAAACUAGGCAGAAUAAGGAUAUAGUUAAAAACCUUAGAUGGAGGCUUGGCCUCAAGAACUGCUUGCUGCAUAACGGCAAGGGCAAAGUUGCCGGUAUCGCCUUGUACUGGGAUGACUCAGUUGAAAUAAUGAAAUUAUCAAUUGGCCCGAGGUAUAUUAAUGUUCUUGUGCGAAAUAAUCCUUGUGAUGAUUGGUGGAGGGGUACCUUGGUGUAUGGAGAACCGAAAGCCCAUGAAAGACACCACAUGUGGGAUUUGCUUGCAAGAAUAAAACCGAACGCAUGGGAGCCAUGGUUUAUGAUUGGCGAUUUCAAUGAAACAAUGUGGCAAAGCGAACACUUUUCUUCAGCCAAGAGAUCUGAAAACAAUAUGGCUAAUUUCCUUGACAUUCUCUGGGCGUGUGACUUGCAUGGUUUAGGUUUCCGCGGACCGAGUUGGACUUAUGAUAAUAAACAAUCUGGGAGCAACAAAGUAAGAGACAGAAUUGACCGAGGGGUAGCUUCUCCAGAAUGGAGCAAACGGCUUCCCAACGCUAGCAUCCAACAUGUAGUCUCAACUAGAUCAGAUCAUUUCUCACUCUUGCUGCAACUUGGUAAACAUACUGUAUACAGAAGGAAGAAAAUAUUCAGAUAUGAAGUUAUGUGGGAGAGAGGAAUCCCUUGCGGCCACGGUGAACAAUGGCUGGAAUCAGGCGGACAAGGCCACGACGUUGGAACCAGUACAGGCCAAGCUGGGCGCCAUGCAACGCAACCUCAGUAGGUGGAGCGCUUCGUGUUUCGGUUCGGUCAAUCGCCGGAUCAAGGAUCUCCGAAAGAAAUUAGAGCAGUUGAUGGGGGCGCCGCAAACUGCAGAAAAUGAUAGAAAGAUAUAGAUGAGGUACUUCUUCGGGCCGAGAUAAUGUUGCGGCAACGUUCGAGAGCCACAUAUCUAAGAGAGGGAGAUAGGAAUACAGAGUGGUUUCACCAGCAAGCAACAUGGAGGAAGAAACACAACACAAUUUGCAAACUGAAGAAUGAAGAAGGAAAGUGGAUUGAGAAGAGAGAGGACUUACACAAGAUGGGGAAGAAAGAGUCCACAACUAGGAUCUAGCGGGUGGGCAAGGUUGCCUUGGUGAAACUCUUGACGACAAAGUCGUUGCAGCACAUCCGCGAUAAGGAUGAGAAGGUAUGGUAACAUAGGAUCACCUUGUCGGUUGUCGCAGUCCGCUUCUACACUAAAGGACAUCCCCAAGCUGGCCGUUGAUUAACACACGAGAUGUGCUAGUGCAGAGUAAUUCUUUAAUCCAAUCUAUCCAUCUUUUUCCAAAGCCUCUCGCUUCCAGAAUUUUUUGGUGGCAUGGUUUCUCAAGGAAAACUCUAAAGCAGAAAGCCUCCUCCUCUCCUCAACGGCAUUGAGAUAAUCCAUAACAUGUUUGUUAUUGCUGGGACGUGUUUGUAGUGGUUUCAUAGUCCGAGUCCACUUUGUGAUUGCAGCCCGCAUGCGCCUCAUUUUAAAACUAAUGCAUGUUCAUUUAGAAGCCAGCGGCCUGUGACCCCUAUUCCAGCAGUCCCAGAUGAUAUGCUUUACUUCUUCCGUCUGGAGCUAAUGAUUCUCAAAACGAUAUAAAUUACAGCGAGGUAACUCCUUGUUAAAAUCCACAGCAAUAGGAGUGUGACCUGAAGUUGUGGCCUGAAUAGCAUGAGCUGUUGUCUGAAAGAAAUCCAGAUUCCAUGUAAUUCACCGGGACCCUAUCCAGCUUGAUUAAGGUAGGAUGUUGCCUUUUAUUCGGCCAUGUGAAGCUCCUGUUUGUUACUGAUGUCAAUGUCCAUAUCCUGUUCUCUAAUCCAUUCAUUAAAAGCUUCCAUGACAGACCAAUUGACUCUUCCCCUUGAUUUUUCAUUUGCAAAUCUGUACAUAUUGAAGUCUUCAAGAAUAAUCCGUGGGCCAUCAACCAUAGCUUCAGCUUGUUCCAUGACAUGGAAGAACUCAUCUUUGUCCUCCACAUACAUUGCAUGGUGCAUAAACAGUGGUGAGGUAAGCAGUAACAUUGCUUGUGGCAGAGCACAUCUUGAUUGAGAUGAAGAAGUGGUGCUUUGCUAGCUCUCUGCAAGACACAGUGGACCGAUCCCAGGCGACCAUGAUGCUCCCUGCCGAUGCCGACCCAGUUGCAGGCAUAGUAACAUAAGAUAUCUGUACCUACAAAGUACAUCUCUACAAAUAAUUCACUCAUUUCAAAUGAUACUUCAAUCUGCAUGUUGUUUGCAAAGCUCUAUUUUUAAUUUAUCAAGCUUUACUAUGCUUUAAAUUAUACCAGUACUAUAUUUGAUGUGUGUCCAAGUUACCAGCUAUGGUAUUCAUCUUCUUUCUCCUUUUUUUGGUGGGUUUUAUUUUGAUGAGCAGAAACAGCCACCCUACCAUGUACUCAGGAAAGGAACAUGCUUGGUUCUUCUAUCUAUAUUGUUUCUGUAGCUUAUAUACUUCAGGUUUUCACUAUUAUAGUGUUGUGUCCCUUCCGAGAAAGCCAUGGAAACCAUGGUGUGCUUCGUGCACUGCUACCUUAGUAGUUGGCCUUCAAAAAGGGACCAAGAUAUAUGUUCAUCGUAAUUAAGCUAAUAUUUUCUGAUUCUCUUUUGUUCCAUUUUCAGUCCAUAAACUGCAUUUCCAGUGGGAGAGGGAGGUAUAAGUGCGAGAGGUACCCGUCCAUCCAACGUCCUCUGUGUUGUUUGCUCUGUCUGUGCGCCUGUGCGCAAUUUGUGGCUGCCGCUUCGUUGCCAUUUUCCCUUAUUUUUUUACCUGAGAGAUAAAUAAGGAAGCAAGGAGAGGCUAAUUAACUGGUGGGACAGUCAGGUAACUGAAGUAUAGUAGAGCCUCUUCAGUAAGAGAACAUAUAGGGAUUCUCCUUUUUUUUUAUAGCCUGCACUAGAGGCUGUAGAGUUAAGUUUGUACAUUUUGCGAAAUUGUAUUGUUCCAGCUUCUCUUAUUAUACACUUUAACUGUCAGGUUAUUUACUAUGUGCAUAUUUCCUUUUGGUGUUGCUAAUCGUGCCAUAAAUCUACUUAUUGAUC